rfam:Hordeum vulgare subsp. vulgare, WGS project CAJW01000000 data, contig: morex_contig_8034
AGUAUACUCCCUCCGUCCCAAAAUUAUUGUCUUAGAUUUGUUUAGAUAUGGAUGUAUCUAGUCACGUUUUAGUAUCUAAAUGCAUUCAUAUCUAGAAAAAUCUUAGACAAGAAUUUUGGGACGGAGCGAGUAUUAG